GCGAGAUGCCUUCGUGAAGGGGACGAGUGACCUGCCGACGGCGGCGGGGGUGGCGCUUUUCGAUACGUGCUAUGACCUGUCGGGGAGGAACAGUGUGGAAGUCCCGACUGUGGGGUUCAACUUCCCCGGUGGCGGCGAAUUGAAGCUUCCGGCGAAGAACUACUUGAUACCGGUGGACUCGGCAGGAACUUUCUGCUUGGCCUUUGCGCCGACGACGGCGCCGCUGUCGAUAAUCGGCAACGUGCAGCAGCAGGGGACACGUGUCACCAUCGAUCUAGACGAAGCUGUUGUGAAGUUUGAACUCAAUAAGUGCUAGGCCCAUCGUGUUUAUGCGUUUGCUGGUUAUUAUGGGAGUAUAGGCUAAGUGGGUGGAUAUAGUAAAUGCAGAGAUGAAGUAUUUUACUCAGUACUGUUUAUAACUGUUGCUCUGUGUGAGACGAAUGCUUGCUCUGCUCUUGUUUUGUAGUGGGGUUCACAACUUUAGUGGCGAAAGUGACGGGUAGCGGGGCCACUUGCACAUGGGUACGGGAGGAGCUGCGGCUUUGCUGGAUUUGGGUGUUGUGUUAUUGCCGAGGUCUUAUAAAAAAAUUAUUUUAUUGUGGAAGGAUAUUAUGUAUGAGUCCUUACCGAGAUUG
rnacentral:misc_RNA from 1 species